GUGAAUCUGCAGCCUCAGAGGCUCACAUUCUUUAUCCUUUACACACCUGUGCACCCUUCUGAAGCGGAGGAGAGCCAUCAGGCACCUGUGCCGAGCGCCUCCCUUCGGUUACCACAUCAACUUCAGACCAUGUUUACUAGAAAGUGUGCCGUCUUGUUGUAAUGGCAAGCGCAAUCCGAUA
rnacentral:misc_RNA from 1 species